rnacentral:miRNA from 1 species
CAUUCUCGUUUCCUUCCCU